ACACACACACACACACACACACACACACACACACACACACACACACACACACACACACACACACACACACACACACACGCACGCACGCACACACACACACAGCUCUGUCUGUGUAGUGCAGAAUCAUACCACCAAAUGAAAAGGGUCCGAUAAGCAUCUCAAUGAAAGGUUGGCUGCCUAUUAGCCCUGGUAUUAAACAAGCAGGUAUUUCUUCUGUCUAGUAAACAGGGGUUGUUUAAAUGUCAUUACACAGGACGGCUUUGUGGAACACAUGGGUUGAGCUGCUGAGGUACCUGCAGCAGUGGCUGCCAUCACCACACAUUUGGGCUAAUCAGAUGAAAGUGGAUGAGAUGUUAAGCCCUCCUUCAGAUGAAUGGGCUGGAGAGAUGUUGAGAAUGGGGAAUGGUAAUGAGCUCUCUGAGACGGCAGCAUUUCACAGCAGAAUUGGAAACUAUGGUUACGAAACAAAACACUGACAAAUGGAACUGAUGGUUUCUGAUUUAAAAAGAUGUGAACCUACACACUGGAGAAGGCUGUUAAGGCAAACAUCUGUGAACGCUAACCUGACGCAGUAAAAAAAUAAAAUAAAAAUGAGGGAAACAGAGCCUUCCUGAAGACACAGAAGAAGAGGGAAUUUGACUGAGCUAGGAGAGCAGGGUGGCUGAGGGACAGAGGGACAUUUAAAACCAACAGUGAAGAUCAAAGUGUAUUGGCAGCCCCCCCCACAGGGCACACAUCGUGCUGCAGAAGAAGCGGGAUAUGAGAGCUAUAUCUGGACAGAGACAGACAGACCAUGUCUAAGCAGAAUAAAAAUCCACCAAACUCAAAAGGAUGAGAAAUAAAAUACAACUACAUCCGACACAAAGGCUUGAACAGAGCCAAUGAAUCUCCUGUACCCAUUCUGUCUGACUACCACAAUUGUUGCAACAGUGUUCCAUUGAAGAAACUCAUAAAUGUCAAAAAAUGUAACACUGCACAUAAAGUACUGUCAAAAAUGUCACUGAUAACAGAGACGGAUAAUAAUAGCAUUAAAAACAAAGCCUUACCAUGUUGGGCUGAGACUACGUCGUAAGGAAGCAAACAGCCAAAUGAGAGAAGUGUCCGUUAACUAGUCACAGUGAACAUUGAGUGGGACAAGGCUCUUUUAGAACCAGGAGGAGGAAACAUUAGUCACACAUAUGGGUUCUCAUUACUGGCCAGAGUGACCUGGCACCCCGGGUCAAAGCUAAGACAUGGAAGGAAUGGACAGACACUAAACAUCUUUCUACUCCGCCUCUUUUCUUUAUUUACAAGACAAAGAAUAAAACGGUCCAGGAAGAACCAUCUUGUGGUAUGAGACGUUUUCUAUGAGUCUUUGUUAGUGUCCAGCAGAUGUAAGGGUCUGGAAGCCUGUUCCGAGAUGCAUCCAGGGCCCUGCUCCAUGGCAGGCCACACAAUGGCCAACACUGUGAGACAGAGCUGUGAGGCACUCGCAGGCAACAAGGCCCGUUUGUGUUGGUCCGUCCCUCCAUUUCUUAUAAAUCAAAUUGACCCUGUGUGAAGUGUGUUCGAGCUGCCACACUCCCCUCUGAUACUGACUGAUUGUGACUGACUAUCUCUAAGAUGGCAUGCAGCAGGCCAGGCUACAUCAUCUGGCAGCUGGCUAGACAGAGAUCUAAAUGAAAAAGCGAUAAGAACCAGAGAAGACAGCAGACACAUUUUCAAUCUUUAGAAACCCAAUUUUCAAGCAGAGUCGUCCUGUUCAACAUCAAGUUCAUUUACAGCCAGGAUGUCUGACAUGUCCUUAAGAGCUCAUCAAGGCCAUGGGGGACUAUUUGUGUGGAAUAUGUUUUUAUGGCCUAUUUAUUUUGUCCUCAUUGUCACUCGACUUAUUGCAAAUCAGAACAAAGGCUUACAUUACCUAUAAGACACAGAACUCAUACUCAGCAUUAAGCCUGUUACAGUAGUAUAUCUGGUACGUAAUCUGCACUAUAGGGACGGCUUCAUGAUGAGAUUCUUGAGAUGUUGAUGAUUGACAACACAUGAUAAUGUCUGAAACGAACACGUUGUCCUCUUGCGUUUUGAAUAUGAGUUAGAAGAACACAUAAGCUCACACUAAACGUUCCAUAAAUGAGGACACAG